GCAUUAAUGGUGUAUCGGUAACAUUGGGUCUUCCCAUGGCCUAGCACUGGGUUCGACUCCCAGUUAAUGCA
rnacentral:tRNA from 1 species